rnacentral:rRNA from 1 species
UGCAGUCGAGGGGUAACAGGGUGCUUGCACCGCUGACGACCGGCGAACGGGUGCGUAACGCGUAUAGAAUCUACCUUGUACAGGAGGAUAGCCUUUAGAAAUGAAGAUUAAUACUCCAUAAUACUGAGAUGUGGCAUCACAAUUUAGUUAAAGAUUUAUCGGUACAAGAUGACUAUGCGUCCUAUUAGCUAGAUGGUAAGGUAACGGCUUACCAUGGCAACGAUAGGUAGGGGGUCUGAGAGGAUUAUCCCCCACACUGGUACUGAGACACGGACCAGACUCCUACGGGAGGCAGCAGUGAGGAAUAUUGGUCAAUGGAGGCAACUCUGAACCAGCCAUGCCGCGUGCAGGAAGACUGCCCUAUGGGUUGUAAACUGCUUUUAUACAGGAAGAAACAGUCGUACGUGUACGACCUUGACGGUACUGUAAGAAUAAGCACCGGCUAACUCCGUGCCAGCAGCCGCGGUAAUACGGAGGGUGCAAGCGUUAUCCGGAAUCAUUGGGUUUAAAGGGUCCGCAGGCGGUCAAUUAAGUCAGAGGUGAAAUCCCAUAGCUUAACUAUGGAACUGCCUUUGAUACUGGUUGACUUGAGUUAUACGGAAGUAGAUAGAAUAAGUAGUGUAGCGGUGAAAUGCAUAGAUAUUACUUAGAAUACCGAUUGCGAAGGCA